rnacentral:lncRNA from 1 species
ACAAAAAAACAAAGUUGCUUGAGCCACACGUAACAACAUAAUGAUUACUAAACAAACCCAAAAACCACAAGAAACAACAUAGUAAUAGUACUAAACAAACCCAAAAACCAAAGUUCCUUGAGCCACACGAAACAACAUAGUGAUACUAAACAAACCCAAAAACAUAGUUCCUUGAGCCACACGUAACAACGUAAUGAUACUAAACAAACCCAAAAACAUAGUUCCUUGAGCCACACGUAACAACAUAAUGAUACUCAAAAUAGGUCUAGUUCAAGUUGUGUGAAGUACCUGGUGCGUCUCUUGGUCUCUGUGUUGAGCUUCCUCUUUCUUCCUAGCUGUGUAUCCAACCACCGUAUCAGCAGCCACUGCAGCUUUCUCCUUAGUCAAGUCCACCGCCUUAGAACCAACUUCCGCCGUCUUAUGCCCUGCGUAACCAACCGCUCCUUCCACCGUACCAGCGACCGCUUUGGUCCCUUGGACCACUUUCUCCGUCGUGAAAUGCGCCGCAGUCCACCCAACCGCAGCCGCUUUCUCGGCUGCCCCUCCAGCGUAAUGUGCAGCUCCUUUGCCUCCUUCCACCACCGUCUCCUUUGCAUACUCAGCCGCUUCUUUGCUCAUUUCCACCGCUUCACCGGCCUUUUGAACCGUGUAGUCUUUGGCUUUUGCCGUCACUGAAACCGUCUGUUCUUUGGCUUCUUGUCCUUUCUGAGCAGCAAUGUCUUUAGCUUCACCAGCUUUCUGAAACGUGUAGUCUUUGGCUCUUGCAGCCUGUUCAGCCGCAGUGUUUCCAGUGUCUCUACCUUUCUCAGUGGCAUACUGAGAAGCUCUCUGAGCUUUCUNNNNNNNNNNNNNNNNNNNNNNNNNNNNNNNNNNNNNNNNNNNNNNNNNNNNNNNNNNNNNNNNNNNNNNNNNNNNNNNNNNNNNNNNNNNNNNNNNNNNNNNNNNNNNNNNNNNNNNNNNNNNNNNNNNNNNNNNNNNNNNNNNNNNNNNNNNNNNNNNNNNNNNNNNNNNNNNNNNNNNNNNNNNNNNNNNNNNNNNNNNNNNNNNNNNNNNNNNNNNNNNNNNNNNNNNNNNNNNNNNNNNNCUUCCGAUCCAAAAAGGUAACCCAAAAUCGAAAUUUAGGGUUUUUCUCCACCCUUGAUUAGAUUUCUCCGAUUCGUUCUUAGAUUCUCUUGACCAGUUUCUGAGGUGAGAGCCCCUGUGUGUUGCGUGAUUCCUUUGGCAUUAGUGUUGUUCAUUAUUCCCCUUUCGUACUUUGUCCUCGUUGGAUUAUUCUAUUCUCACAAAGUCUCUUCCUUUUUGGGAAUUCGAUUAUGAUUAACUUGAACCCAUCUCGUGAUUUUGCAGGAUUUUUCAUAAAGGAGCAACCUUUGAAGGAUUUGAACUUUGUUUUGUUUGCUUGCUUGCUGGGUUUGUUUGAAACAUUAUGAGUGAAUCAUGGGCUGACGUGGCUGACUCAGAGAACAACACUGCCUCUGGGUCUACUACUCAAAACUCUCACAACACUGCCUCUGGGUCUACUAAACCGUCACGACCUGCUUAUGUUCCUCCACAUCUAAGGAACAAGCAACCAUCUUCCGACCCUGUUGCUCCACUACCAGCUAAUGAUCGUGUUGGCUAUAACGGUCCACCUUCUGCCUCUCGUUGGGCUCCUCCUGGAGGUAGUGGUGGUUACAGGGCUGAUGCAGGGCGUCCACGAGGAACCGGCGGUGGCUGGAACAACAGGAGUGGAGGGUGGGACCGUAGGGAGCGUGAAGUCAACCCCUUUGAGAACGCUGACGCUGAGCCGGAGCCUGCGUUUACUGAGCAGGACAACACUGGGAUUAACUUUGAUGCUUACGAAGAUAUCCCGAUUGAGACUAGUGGGGAUAACGUGCCUCCUGCUGUCAACACGUUUGCGGAGAUUGAUCUCGGGGAGGCUUUGAAUCUGAACAUCAGGAGGUGCAAGUACGUGAAGCCGACGCCGGUGCAGAGGCACGCGAUUCCUAUAUUGCUUGCGGGGAGGGACUUGAUGGCUUGUGCUCAGACGGGGUCUGGGAAGACGGCUGCGUUUUGUUUUCCGAUAAUUAGUGGGAUUAUGAAGGAUCAGCAUGUAGUGCAGAGACCUCGUGGCUCACGGACUGUUUACCCUCUUGCGGUUAUUCUCUCGCCAACAAGGGAGUUGGCAAGUCAGGUUCGUGUUCUCUUCAAACGUUAAGACACUAAUCGCUUGAUGAAAACUCAUUCUGUGAUUUUUGGCAGAUACAUGAUGAGGCUAAGAAGUUUUCUUACCAAACUGGUGUGAAGGUGGUUGUUGCUUAUGGAGGAACACCUAUUAACCAGCAGGUAUAUUAAUGUACAUUUAGUUUUCUAGUUAGCUUUAAUCUGUUUUGUUGACAUCUUGUGUUGUUUGUUUGUGCAGUUACGGGAACUUGAGCGAGGGGUUGAUAUUCUUGUGGCGACUCCUGGUAGACUAAAUGAUUUGCUCGAGAGGGCUAGAGUCUCUAUGCAGAUGAUUAGAUUCUUAGCUCUUGAUGAGGCUGAUAGGAUGCUGGACAUGGGUUUUGAGCCACAGAUUAGAAAGAUUGUGGAACAAAUGGACAUGCCUCCGCGUGGUGUUAGACAGACGCUUUUGUUUAGUGCUACUUUUCCAAGAGAGAUUCAGGUUUGGUUUACUUGUGUGUCAACUCUUAUGCUCUAUACUUCUUCCUUGCAAAUUAUAUGUGAUGGAGAGCCUUAGAUUGAUUAGGUUUGAUGCUACUGUUUCUGCUCGUAGCACUCGUUACUAGAAUGUUUCUGCUUUUGCAUAUUCAUUUGAAAAUCUGAAAAAAUUAUAUAUUUGUUUAUUGUGCAGAGACUCGCAGCUGACUUCUUAGCAAACUAUAUAUUCUUGGCUGUGGGUAGAGUAGGUUCAAGUACUGACUUAAUUGUCCAAAGGGUUGAGUUUGUCCUUGACUCUGACAAGAGAAGUCAUCUCAUGGACCUUCUUCAUGCUCAGAGAGAGAAUGGCAUGGUAAAAAUGUCACUCUUCUUUUCUUCAGCUGGUCUUGUAUGGCAGUCGUUACCAUUCUUCUGAUGACUGUUUUCUCUUCCAUAAUUACAGCAAUCCCUGACCUUAGUCUUUGUGGAGACGAAGAGGGGAGCCGACUCUCUGGAAAAUUGGCUGUGCAUCAAUGGGUUCCCAGCAACCUCCAUUCACGGUGACAGAUCACAGCAGGUUUGUUAAUCUCUUUGGUCAUCACUUUCAAGCUAGAAUUUUACUAAGCUUUGUUGUGUGUUUUAUGCAUUUGAAGGAAAGAGAAGUGGCGCUGAAGUCAUUCAAGAGCGGGAGAACACCGAUUCUGGUUGCAACGGACGUGGCAGCGCGUGGUCUCGACAUUCCCCACGUGGCUCACGUCGUGAACUUCGAUCUACCGAACGACAUUGAUGACUAUGUUCACCGUAUUGGACGAACAGGACGUGCUGGCAAAUCAGGACUAGCGACUGCCUUCUUCAACGACGGCAACACCUCGAUGGCAAGAUCUCUCUCUGAACUGAUGCAAGAAGCUAACCAAGAAGUCCCUGCAUGGCUCUCGCGGUAUGCGUCGCGUUCCUCCUUUGGUGGUGGUAAGAACAAGCGGUCUGGUGGUCGGUUUGGUGGGCGUGACUUUAGAAGGGAAGGUUCUUACAUUAGAGGAGGUGGCGGCGGUGGUGGUGGUUACUAUGGCGGUGGCGGAGGCGGCGGCUAUGGCGGUGGAUAUGGAGCUCCAAGUGGUGGAUAUGGUGGAGAAACUCCAAGUGCGUGGGACUAAGCGCUUAAUGUUUUUUUUGUUUUGUUUUGGUUAUAAACUUUUGACUAUUUAUCUGUCUUCUACAUUCCCAAAGAGAGAGUAUGUAUUGCCCCUUACACUUAUGAGAUGGAUGAAUAUAUAUAUAACUAAGGUUGCUGUUUAGGUGCUUUUGAUCUUUGUAGGCUUUUUUAAGAGUGUCCAAAGCAUAACAGUCCAGUUUCACAGAUUGUCUCCAAUUUUUUAUCAUGUUCUUGAUCUGAAACAUGUCUUGAAAGUGUUAAGUUAAUUGAUGCUCUUGUUCUGCUGGUGUGUUCUAGAUGCACUUCUAAGUUUGGUGAUGUAAAUUUAGUUUCCAGAGAGUAGAUAUAACAGAGAGAUGAUAUUGGUUCACCAACCACAUUACAUGCUUUGAAAGUUUUUAACAGAAACAGAGUUUUUAUCUACUCUUAAGAGAUCCAAAGAGUAGAUAAAAGACCAGUGGAGAUGGUAUUGGUUCACCAACCAUUACACAUAACAGAAACAGAGCUUUUUGUUAUUUACAUACAAAAACCCUUUUAGACAAACACAAAAAACAAAACAUGUCUCCUUUUUCACUUAUCAACGACGUCCAUGUUCCUGUCCCAUGUACCCCGUACUUCCUUGCUCAUGUGUCCUCUCAGGAGGAUCACCAAUAACUAUGUUCGUCGUGGUCUUUGCAAUCUCAGCUAUAGUCUCGCCAAUAGCCCCAAGCACUCCUCCCGCUCCAGCCCCUUGUUCUUGGGCAUAUCUCUCGUUCCUUCUUCCUCCUCCUCCGUAUAACUCCUCCUCUCCAACGUCUCUGGAGACUCCUCCUCCUUGUGUUCCAUAUCCGAAGACAUCUUCCUCACUCGCUCUUCCUCUUCCGUACUCCUCCCUGACGUCUCUCCUCUCUUCUCCGGAGAAGCCUUUUGUUCCAUACCCAAAGACAUCUUCCUCACCUCUCCCUCUUUCUCCUCUGUACUCCUCUUCAAAGCCUCUUCUUGGCUCUUUGACAUAACCUUGUCCCUUCUCUUCCUCACCUCCCUCGAAACAAAACAAAAAAACAAAGUUGCUUGAGCCACACGUAACAACAUAAUGAUUACUAAACAAACCCAAAAACCACAAGAAACAACAUAGUAAUAGUACUAAACAAACCCAAAAACCAAAGUUCCUUGAGCCACACGAAACAACAUAGUGAUACUAAACAAACCCAAAAACAUAGUUCCUUGAGCCACACGUAACAACGUAAUGAUACUAAACAAACCCAAAAACAUAGUUCCUUGAGCCACACGUAACAACAUAAUGAUACUCAAAAUAGGUCUAGUUCAAGUUGUGUGAAGUACCUGGUGCGUCUCUUGGUCUCUGUGUUGAGCUUCCUCUUUCUUCCUAGCUGUGUAUCC